GAUGAACGCUGGCGGCGUGCCUAAUACAUGCAAGUCGAGCGCACGGACGAGAAGCUUGCUUCUCUGAUGUUAGCGGCGAACGGGUGAGUAAUACGUGGAUAACCUACCUUUAAGACUGGGAUAACUUCGGGAAACCGGAGCUAAUACCGGAUAAUAUUUUGCACCGCAUGGUUCUAAAUUGAAAGGCGGUCUUGCUGUCUCCUAUAGCUGACUGCGUACUGCCUUAGCUAGUUGGUAAGGUCACGGCUUACCAAGGCCACGAUGCCUACCCGACCGGGGGGGGUGAUCGGCCGCACUGGAGCGGGAACACGGUCCAUAGUACUGCGAGAGGCAGCAGUAGGGAAUCUUACGCAAUGGGCGGAAGCCUGACGGAGCGACGCCGCGUGAGUGAUGAAGGCCUUCGGAGCGUAAAACCCUGUUAUGAGGGAUGAACAUAUGUCUAAGUAACUGUGCACAGCGUGACGGUACCUAAUCAGGAAGCCACGGCUAACUACGUG
rnacentral:rRNA from 1 species